rnacentral:rRNA from 2 species
AAUUGAUUGAUGGUGCUUGCACCUGAUUGAUUUUGGUCGCCAACGAGUGGCGGACGGGUGAGUAACACGUAGGUAACCUGCCCAGAAGCGGGGGACAACAUUUGGAAACAGAUGCUAAUACCGCAUAACAACGUUGUUCGCAUGAACAACGCUUAAAAGAUGGCUUCUCGCUAUCACUUCUGGAUGGACCUGCGGUGCAUUAGCUUGUUGGUGGGGUAAUGGCCUACCAAGGCGAUGAUGCAUAGCCGAGUUGAGAGACUGAUCGGCCACAAUGGGACUGAGACACGGCCCAUACUCCUACGGGAGGCAGCAGUAGGGAAUCUUCCACAAUGGGCGCAAGCCUGAUGGAGCAACACCGCGUGAGUGAAGAAGGGUUUCGGCUCGUAAAGCUCUGUUGUUAAAGAAGAACACGUAUGAGAGUAACUGUUCAUACGUUGACGGUAUUUAACCAGAAAGUCACGGCUAACUACGUGCCAGCAGCCGCGGUAAUACGUAGGUGG